CAGUCACAAAAAUUGCUAUCCCUAACUUGAGAAAAAUCUUGUCCAUAUUCUCUCACUUGAAGCUCUUUCAGGUAUCUGCAAGUUUUUAUUUUUAUGACUUAAUUGCUUUCUCCUUGAAUAUAAUUCCUGACAUAAGGGAUAUAAUUCUUGACACAAGGGUAAAUCAUCUCAGUUUUGUACAUAGAGAUUAUAUCAGUUUAUGGUUAAUGAUAGUGUCAAGUAUAGCUUCCUCCGUUGAUAUGGAAUCAUAGGGCACAACUUACAUAAAUAUUUAUUUAAAUCUUUAAAGAAAGCAUAAAAUUAUUACAAAACCCCCCAAUUUGACAAAAUUGAUUCAUGAUUAUAUCUGUUACAAAUCAAUGACUUCUUUGUCAGGACGUUUUUACGAGGGAUCACCCAACUAAUUUAUUUGUGAAAUAUACGAGAAGUAAGUCGAAAAGGAAUAACUAUACGUUUUAAAAUUGUUAAUCAUGUUCACAAUAGACAUAUAUUUAGCGCUUGAUUCCUAUAAUUUAUUUAAUGGUUUGCUGCUUAAUCAUUUUCAACCACACAUUCAUACAAUAAAUUAUUCUACACAUUCUUUUAAAAAUUUUCCUCCCUUUUAACUACACAUUCAAAAACUACUGUUCAAAACUUAUUUUCUUUUCAAUUAAUGGGAAUUAAACAGGCACUUAAUUUUGUUAGGUUUUGUAAUUGAAUUUUAGAUAUGGAAAAUUUGGCUCAUUUGUUUUAUAAUGUUUUGCAUGAUAAUAGAGUUAAAGAUGGACACCUACUAAAGAUUAAUCUAAUCCUCAAUAUACUUUUAUCAUUUUCGGUCUAGGAUUCACCUUUUUUACGUUUAUAUUAUAGUGCAAAAUGAUUAUUAAUUCUCUGCCUGAAUUGAACACUAUAAAGAAUGCAAAUAUAAAAUAAAAAGUUUAAAGCCAGAGAUUUAAAAACUUCUUUUUGGACGGUUGAAAUUAACUUUAAGUAUGUAAUUAUUCAUGCCUUAAAUUUUAUAUUGAAGCAGUUGGAUAAUGAUAUUAAAAUUAAUUGUUGUUUGACAAUUAAGUUUUGAUGCUGGACCCUUUGUAAUUUCUGUGUUACAUUUGUUGUGAUUUUGUUGGUUUGCUCAAUAAAAUUUGAUGCUGGACCCUUUCCUGCAUUACACUUGUCUUGAUUUGGUUUGUAUAAAAAAUUAAAGUUUGAUGUUGAUUGUUCAAAUAUGUGUGACGUGUUUUACAUGGGAAUCGAAAAUAUGUAUUUAAAUUCUCAAUAUAUAUAUAUUUUCAGGGAAAAAUACAGUAUUAAUUCCUCAUAUUUAAUUUGAAAAUCUCUGUCAUCGAUCAAUAUAUUUGUUGCACUAGGCAAGAAAUAUUAAGGGAGAAAUUAUUAAUUAUAGAAACUAUAAAAAAAUUUGAAGAUGGAAAAUUUAGCUUAUUUGUUUUAGAAUGUUUUGCACGGCAAUAGAAUUAAAGAUGGGAGCCUACAAAGUACUAACUAGUGGUCUAAUUCUCAAAAUACUUUCAUCAUUUUUGGUCUAGGAUUCGCCUUUUUAAGUUUAUAUAUCACAGCCCAAAAUGAUUAUUAAUUUUCUUCUUGAAUUAAAAACUGUUUGGGCCUCUUUUUUGGCUAAGAAUACAUUUUCGAAUAAUAGUUUGAUGAAGAAUGUGUAGUUAGAAAAUAAGAAAAAAAUUUGGAUUUGUUUGUAAUAUUAUUUCAUUGAAGAAUUUGUGGUUGAAAAGAAAAGUGAUGCAGGAGGAUCCGAGUCAAGUGAUGCUGAUUUGUCAGAUAACACGAUAAUGGCGCUGAGAUACCAUGGGAUGGUGGAUCGGCGCAAAGAUGGAAAGUGAAUCGCAAUUAUUUCUUUAAUUGGGAGAAUUUGAUACGUCUUUGGUAAUUUGGCCAUAACUUUGGCUACAGUUAUCGGAAUCGCUAUUAUGACCCCAAUCCGGAAAGCUCUUUUCGACGCGCACGUUGUUGCCACCCAACUAUGCUCAGUGGACGUCAAUUUCAAGCCCAAAAUUCACUGUUUUCCUUUCCAAAAUUCAAUUUUAAGAUAUUUUUUACUAUUUAUGGUAAUAUUUCGUUUCCCUUUUUCCAUAUGUUAGAAAACUCGAAUUAAGCCAAAUUUUUGGCAACUUACUUCUUUUACUUAAUAUUUUAUUUUGGAAUAAUUUCGGAAUUUUGCCAUUUUUGGUAAUUUUAUCAUAAUUUCGAAUUUCGUAGCUAUUUAACUUGGUUUGUGGGUUAAUUUUGAUCAUUCUUCAUUAUUAAUAAUAUUGAGUUGAGUUCAGAGUAUUUUCUCUAGUUUUUGGGCGUUUUCUGUCGUUUCUUUCUUGCAAAUCAUCUGCUACAACAAGCCAAUAUGAUAAUCACUAUCCUACCCGACAUCAAUUGGUAUCAGAGCGUCAUCAUCUUCUUGGGAGAUAAAUUUCAUCAGUUAUAAUGGUUGGUGGACGUGGACAUGGACGUGGUCGUGGUCGUCGAGGACAGGUUCCGAUUGAGGAAGUCCCGCACCGUGAUCGUAAUAUUCACGAUGUGACGAUUGAAGAUUUGCAUAGACAAGUUGCGAAGUUAACCCAACGUUUGACGGAGCAGGAGUUCGGUAAUCAUGAUGUGGAGGGUCACGAUUCCGAUAGCAGUUUCGAAAACCCGUAUCACCAUCGUGCUCGAGUUUGAAAGUAUCGUGGACGGGAGGAUCGUCAUGUGGAUCUCGGUUUCAGAGUGGAUCUGCCCGAGUUUUCUGAUACAUUGCAGGCUGAAGGAUUUAUUGAUUGGCUAAAUGAAGUGGAGCGAAUUUUUGAAUAUAAGGAGGUUCCAGAUCGUGUCAAAGUGAAACUGGUCGCCAUCAAACUCAAAGGUAGAGCAUCUACAUGGUGGGAACAGUUGAAGCGUUCACGGGAGCGACAGGGGAAAUCCAAAAUUACUAACUAGGAGAAGAUGAAGAAGAAGAUGAAAGGGCACUUUCUCCCUUUCGGCUAUACUCAAACCUUGUUUCAAAGGCUUCAUUUACUGAGGCAAGGCGCAAGAUCAGUCAGUGAUUAUACUGAAGAAUGAUAGUGUCAAGUAUAUAUAAAAAUAUAUUUUGAAAAUAAUAGGGAUCAAACAAGGGUUAUAAAGCAUGAAAAAGCAAAAUAAGAAGGUUGAUAGCUAAGUAUUAAUAGGCUUCCUUUUUGACGGUUGAAACUUUACGUAUGAAAUUGUUCAUGUCUUAAAUUUUAGGCUGAACCAGUUGGAUAAUGAUAUUCAAAUACUCAUGGUUUUACAAUUAAAUUUUGAUGCAGGACGAUUUGUAUUUUC
rnacentral:lncRNA from 1 species